UUUACCUUUAAAAUUUUUAAACGUGAAAGUUGCUCAAUAGAUGUUGGAACAGUGCUAGAUAUCAUAUAGACUAAGAAUCAAAAGGUUCACGUAAAAAAAAUCAAGAUACUUCAAUGAAUACAAAUCGUAAACCAAUUAAAAUCUUUGAUUUAGUUUCUUUCAACAGUAUCGUAAGGAUAGGAAUAUACAUGGAGGUUUAAAUUCCGCAAUUUUGAUAGUAUCGUAGGAUAGGAUUACACACCAACCUUACAACGAUAAUUAAACCAAUAUCAUAUUAUAGAUAAUAUUUUUUGAAUACUAC
rnacentral:lncRNA from 1 species